rnacentral:rRNA from 1 species
UACAGAGGUCUCAAGCGUUGUUCGGAUUCAUUGGGCGUAAAGGGUGCGUAGGUGGCGCUGUAAGUCGGAUGUGAAAGCCCCAGGCUCAACCUGGGAAGUGCACUCGAUACUGCGCAGCUUGAGUAUCGGAGAGGUUGGUGGAAUUCUCGGUGUAGAGGUGAAAUUCGUAGAUAUCGAGAGGAACACCGGUGGCGAAGGCGGCCAACUGGACGAAUACUGACGCUGAGACACGAAAGCGUGGGGAGCAAACAGG